CUGAAAGACUGACUCUGAGUCACUGUUAAGACGGUCGCAAUGAUUCAUAGCUCAGAAGCAAUGGCUAACAGCAGGAACAAGGCUGAAACGGUGCAUGCCUGUGUGUCUGUGAGAGCAGCUGAACGGUUCCCAGGAUCUCGGCUAGAAAGUGAAGUCUCCUGACUCUCCAGUGCAACAGCAGCAGAUUUACUCAAGUCUAUAUUUUGGACGGGAGUUUACUUACGGACAACUCUGGUUACCAUGGAAGCAACAUUGGCCCAGGGGUUCUGGAAGCAUGGCGUCACAACUGCAGAGGCAAAGAGCUGAGUAGGAUGGAAAGACAAACUAAAAGUUAACAAAAGAAGGACCAAAACAAAAACACACUAAGCCAAAACUUCCAAAACACAGUACCGGGGGGGUCCCCUUUGUAUGCUGUUUUCUUUUGUGUGUUUGUUUCAGAGAAUCCCAUUAUUUAAUAAAAUUAAUUUUAAAUG